rnacentral:rRNA from 1 species
AACGAACGCUGGCGGCAUGCCUAACACAUGCAAGUCGAACGAGACCUUCGGGUCUAGUGGCGCACGGGUGCGUAACGCGUGGGAACCUGCCCUUAGGUUCGGAAUAACUCCCCGAAAGGGGUGCUAAUACCGGAUAAUGUCUUCGGACCAAAGAUUUAUCGCCUUUGGAUGGGCCCGCGUUGGAUUAGCUAGUUGGUAGGGUAAAAGCCUACCAAGGCGACGAUCCAUAGCUGGUCUGAGAGGAUGAUCAGCCACACUGGAACUGAGAGACGGCCCAGACUCCUGGGGGAGGCACCAGGGCGGAAUAUUGGACGAUGGGCGGAAGCGGGAAACAUCGACGCCGGGUGAAAGAAGAAGGCCGUCAGAGCGGAAAGCACUUUAAGGGGGGAGGGAUGGAAAUAAGUUUUUACCGGGAUGUUUAGACGUUACCCGGAGAAAAAGCACCGGCUAACCUCCGG